UAAAGUUUUAUCAUGGCUUUAAAAUUUGUGGAAUAGAGGUUUUACAUGCAGGAAUUAUUAAAGGAUUUUUUGGCAGUAAAUAAAUUUAAUUAUUAAGGAGAUUUAGAAUUAGACUUUUAUUUAAGUAUAGACUAAUCUUGUGCCAGCAGUUGCGGUUAUACAUGAUAUGCAUUCAAAUUUGAUUUGGAUAAUAAUAAUCUUUAUUUUUAAAAAAUGUAUGUUGAUUAUAUAAGGUGAAAUUUUGUAAUCAAUUGAGUUGACGGAGUGAUGAGAUAUUAUUAGAUUUUAAUUAUAAACUAGGAUUAGAUACCCUAUUAUUGGAAAUGUAAAGCUUAAUUCCAGAGAAGUAUUAGAAUUCUUGAAAUUUAAAAGAUUUGGCGGUGUUUUAGUCUGUUCAGAGGAACCUGUCCUGUAAUUGAUGAUCCACGAUUAAUUGGACUUAUUCUUUAAGUUUGUAUAUCGUCGUUAUUUGAGUAUCUUUAAAAAGGAAAAUAUUCAAUAUUUGAAAUUUUAAUUUAAAUCAGAUCAAGGUGCAGUGUACGGGUAAGUAGAGAUGGGUUACAAUAAAAAAAUUUAUAUGGUUUAAAAGGUGAAAUUUUUUAAUAAAUAGGAUUUGAUAGUAAAUAAAAUUAUUUUAUUUUUUUGAUUAGAGCUCUAGAAUAUGCACAUAUCGCCCGUCGCUCCUACUUUAAAGUAGGAUAAGUCGUAACAUAGUAGGUGUACCGGAAGGUGUACCUGGAAAGA
rnacentral:ncRNA from 1 species